GUAUGCAUAUGUUCAUGUGUGGAUAAGGAACCCUCUAACUAGCUUCUCACCAUUCUAUUUAAUCACAAUCUGUGCUGCUUUACAUUUGUUUUUAAAGUCUGAGUUUUAAAGUUUUAAUUUCGUCAAAAUCAUUCCCCUAUUUAUUUUAAAGUGUUAGAUUAGUUAGAAAUCCAUUUAGUUGUGUUUUUAAGUGUUUUGAGUCAAGUCAUAGUCCAAAUUCGUCCAAACUAGUGUUAGGUACUCAAAACUGCCCAGAAAGUGGUUUAAAGGCAGUUUUGAGCCUUUUAGUUGCUGUUUUGAGUUUUUAGUUUGUUUAGGUGUUUUAAACCCUAGUUUUGCAUUAAUUGAGUCUAGUUUAGUGUUCUACAUUAUAUUUUUAUGUUCUUGAGUCAGUUUUACAUUGAUUAGCAUCCCUAGUUAAUCCCCGGUUAGAACGAUCCCUAUUUGCUCAUAUACUACAAUUGUCAUCCAUAGGGUUUAAUUUGUGUGUCAACAUAAUUUUCACAUCAGUUAUCGAGGAAUUUUCUGGCGUGAUUCCGUGAUUUUUGGAGCUUGAAAUUGGUAAGAAUCUGUUCUACUCAUUGUAAGCUUCAAUUUGGUAUAAUGUUUCAUGAGUUUUGGUGCAAAAAUGAAGAAGUUAUAAAGAUUUUAAGAUUUUUUAGUUUCCGACGACGGCGACGAUCGCCAGAGUUCGAA
rnacentral:lncRNA from 1 species